CAGAGUGGAAACAACAAGCUGAGAUUAGCUUUCCUUUAAUGGUCCUGAACUCUGUGGUUGCAUGGAGGCCAAUAAAGGAUUCACCCCAGCCAAUUUAAGCAUUCUUCCAUUGUAUGGGCUGUGCGAUUGCCUCUGUGUUGGGGUAUGGAGACGAGUUAGGGACUCAGCCAGCUGCUUUAAAUGAUGCACCUUGAUCAUGAGCUCAAGUCACCUCUGUGUUAGCAGCACAGAGACCCGUAAUGGGCUCACCCAGCUGAAUUAAGCUUCAGCCAUC